GCCUACGGGGGGCAGCAGUGGGGAAUAUCGGGCAAUGGGCGAAAGCCUGAUGGAGCAACGCCGCGUGGGUGAAGAAGGUCUUCGGAUCGUAAAACCCUGUUGUUAGAGAAGAAAGUGCGUGAGAGUAACUGUUCACGUUUCGACGGUAUCUAACCAGAAAGCCACGGCUAACUACGUGCCAGCAGCCGCGGUAAUACGUAGGUGGCAAGCGUUAUCCGGAUUUAUUGGGCGUAAAGGGAACGCAGGCGGUCUUUUAAGUCUGAUGUGAAAGCCUUCGGCUUAACCGGAGUAGGGCAUUGGAAACU
rnacentral:rRNA from 1 species